CUUCUGGUUUGCAGUACUGUGUGUUUGUAAAAGAAAUAUGUGUGUCUUUAAAGUUCCAUCACACAAGAGAGAACUUGUUUCUUCUACUGACUUGAAUGGAAUUGGACUUUAAAAGAACAGGGCUCUACGUACUACAACUUAGAAUUCUUAAAACACUGAAUGAAAGGAAAGUCCUGCUUAUCCUACGAAAUGUUUGCUGAAGAGGCUCAACCAGGGACAGAAAGAUAGUGACAGAAAAACAUUUGAACUCAGCUAAACACCUUUCGAGCAGUCCUGCAUUUAUCAGAGGAUGAACAUCGAAUGAAUAGAAUUUGGAGUUACUUUAACGACCUGAGGAGCAUUUGCUUCUGUGUUGUGAUCUGGAUGAUCAGGGUCAAAAGAAAAUACAAGAUGGAUUUUUCUGCCCCAUCUGGUGGCUUCAGUUCAGCAGAAAUGAGAACUAAACACAGCUGUGAAGACAGAAGGCUGAGGAGCAGCAUACUGUUAAUGACCUGGGACAACUCUGAGCCGCUGUUGGCAGUGACUCCCUCAAAUGGGUCCCCAGAAGCCCUGUGGCCUUUGGCACAGAAACAGCAGCGGCCCUUAAGGUUUUCUGAAUUUUAUUUAUUUUUUUUUUGUUUUUAAUUUUUUAAAAAGAUUUUAUUUAUUUAUUCAUGAGAGACACAAGAGAGAGGCAGAGACAGAGGCAGAGGGAGAAGCAGGCUCCCUGAGGGGAGCCCCAUGUGGGACUCGAUCCCAGGACCCCGGGAUCAUGCCCUGGGCUGAAGGCAGAUGCUCAACACUGAGCGUCUGAGCCACCCAGGCACCCUAGGUUUCUGAAUUUUAAAUGAAGGAAAAAAGUGACUCAUGAGGUUUGGUAAAAUAUAGGGAAAAAUAUGAACCUUCCUUGGGCUGGAGAGAGAGAGGAAAGGGUUAACCCCCAGUGGGAAGUUUCCACAGCCAAAGGUACCUUAAUUCCUACAUAGCUUUUUCUUUCUUCUCGUUAAUUAUUAUAUUUAGCAAAGUUCUCUCUGUUUCUCACGUUUCUUAAAUAUGGCGUUUACAAUGACUGGCCCUUUUGAUGUUCC
rnacentral:lncRNA from 12 species